rnacentral:rRNA from 1 species
GACGAACGCUGGCGGCGUGCUUAACACAUGCAAGUCGAACGGAAAGGCCCUGCUUUUGUGGGGUGCUCGAGUGGCGAACGGGUGAGUAACACGUGAGUAACCUGCCCUUGACUUUGGGAUAACUUCAGGAAACUGGGGCUAAUACCGGAUAGGAGCUCCUGAUGCAUGGGGGUGGUUGGAAAGUUUCGGCGGUGGGGGCUGGACUGGAGGCUUAUCAGCUUGUUGGUGGGGUAGUUGCUUACCAAGGCUUUGACGGGUAGCCGGCCUGAGAGGGUGACCGGCCACAUUGGGACUGAGAGAGGGCGCAGACUCCUACGGGAGGCAGUAGUGGGGAAUAUUGCACAAUGGGCGGAAGCCUGAUGCAGCAACGCCGCGUGCGGGAUGACGUCCUUCGAGUUGUAAACCGCUUUCGCCUGUGACGAAGCGUGAGUGACGGUAAUGGGUAAAGAAGCACCGGCUAACUACGUG